GAUGAACGCUGGCUACAGGCUUAACACAUGCAAGUCGUGGGGAAACGGCAUUAUGUGCUUGCACAUUCUGGACGUCGACCGGCGCACGGGUGAGUAUCGCGUAUCCAACCUGCCCCUUACUUGGGGAUACCCCGUUGAAAGACGGCCUAAUACCCGAUGUGUUUCAUUGACGGCAUCCGAUAUGAAACAAAGGUUUUCCGGUAAGGGAUGGGGAUGCGUCUGAUUAGCUUGUUGGCGGGGCAACGGCCCACCAAGGCGACGAUCAGUAGGGGUUCUGAGAGGAAGGUCCCCCACAUUGGAACUGAGACACGGUCCAAACUCCUACGGGAGGCAGCAGUGAGGAAUAUUGGUCAAUGGACGCAAGUCUGAACCAGCCAAGUAGCGUGCAGGAUGACGGCCCUAUGGGUUGUAAACUGCUUUUAUGUGGGAAUAAAGUGGCGCACGUGUGCGCCAUUGCAUGUACCUCAUGAAUAAGGACCGGCUAAUUCCGUGCCAGCAGCCGCGGUAAUACGGAAGGUCCGGGCGUUAUCCGGAUUUAUUGGGUUUAAAGGGAGUGUAGGCGGUCUGUUAAGCGUGUUGUGAAAUUUAGGUGCUCAACAUUUAACUUGCAGCGCGAACUGUCAGACUUGAGUACACGCAGCGCAGGCGGAAUUCAUGGUGUAGCGGUGAAAUGCUUAGAUAUCAUGAGGAACUCCGAUCGCGAAGGCAGCCUGCGGGAGUGUCACUGACGCUUAAGCUCGAAGGUGCGGGUAUCGAACAGG
rnacentral:rRNA from 1 species